AUUGAACGCUGGCGGCAGGCCUAACACAUGCAAGUCGAGCGGAUGAAGGGAGCUUGCUCCUGGAUUCAGCGGCGGACGGGUGAGUAAUGCCUAGGAAUCUGCCUGGUAGUGGGGGAUAACGUCCGGAAACGGGCGCUAAUACCGCAUACGUCCUGAGGGAGAAAGUGGGGGAGCUUCGGACCUCACGCUAUCAGAUGAGCCUAGGUCGGAUUAGCUAGUUGGUGGGGUAAAGGCCUACCAAGGCGACGAUCCGUAACUGGUCUGAGAGGAUGAUCAGUCACACUGGAACUGAGACACGGUCCAGACUCCUACGGGAGGCAGCAGUGGGGAAUAUUGGACGAUGGGCGAAAGCCUGAUCCAGCCAUGCCGCGUGUGUGAAGAAGGUCUUCGGAUUGUAAAGCACUUUAAGUUGGGAGGAAGGGCAGUAAGUUAAUACCUUGCUGUUUUGACGUUACCAACAGAAUAAGCACCGGCUAACUUCGUG
rnacentral:rRNA from 1 species